UGGGGAAUAUUGCACAAUGGGCGCAAGCCUGAUGCAGCAACGCCGCGUGAGGGAUGACGGCCUUCGGGUUGUAAACCUCUUUUAGUAGGGAAGAAGCGAAAGUGACGGUACCUGCAGAAAAAGCACCGGCUAACUACGUGCCAGCAGCCGCGGUAAUACGUAGGGUGCGAGCGUUGUCCGGAAUUAUUGGGCGUAAAGAGCUCGUAGGCGGUCUGUCGCGUCUGCUGUGAAAACCCGAGGCUCAACCUCGGGCCUGCAGUGGGUACGGGCAGACUAGAGUGCGGUAGGGGAGAAUGGAAUUCCUGGUGUAGCGGUGGAAUGCGCAGAUAUCAGGAGGAACACCGAUGGCGAAGGCAGUUCUCUGGGCCGUAACUGACGCUGAGAAGCGAAAGCGUGGGGAGCGAACAGGAUUAGAUACCCUGGUAGUCCACGCCGUAAACGUUGGGCGCUAGAUGUGGGGACCAUUCCACGGUUUCCGUGUCGCAGCUAACGCAUUAA
rnacentral:rRNA from 1 species